UCUAGGAUGCAAAAUGGAGUUCCCUUGUGUUUGCUUUUGUUGUGUGCACUUCUUGGUUAUACAAAUUUCCUGUCCAAGGGCAGACCUCUCGUUACACUGUGCUUGGUGAUGAGAGAUUUGGGCGCUUUUUCAGCUUACAUUUUGGCACUGUUUUCCUUCUGUUGCUUCGCAAAGAUGUUGCCAGGGAGCCUGGUGCUGAAGGAAAGGCUCGUCUCCUUUCACCACGCUUCUUAUGACAUGGCCCCAGCUCUCAUGACUUAUCACCAUGCUUUGAGGAGCCAGGCAGACUGCAGCUUGGUGAAGAAAGAUCCCUUGGCAUGGCCCAUGCACAGAAAAGCAAGGAGUGUCCUACACAGCGGUGCCUCUGUGCCCUCCAAUUUAUUAAGUAUAAACACAGAAAUAAUUAAAAUUUAUUCCCUUCACCAGGGGGAGAUGUGUAGGUGAUUGGAUAAUGGAAACCUUUUGGGAUAAUUGGAUGAUAGACAGGGAACAUUGCAGGGAUAGGGAGGAAAGGAUGCAAAGACAGAUGGAGUUUACAGGGAAUAAAAGACGGUAAAUUUGCUCAGAGAUUUUCUAGAGAACUUUUUUUUUUCAGUAAUUUCCAAAGAAAUUGCUGGAAAAAAAUAUGUGUUUUAUACAUCUAUACAGAAUAUUUUGUUUCAAAGGUGGAGGGAAUUCAACAUCAUUGGCUCUGUUUGUGGCCAUGUUUAUUCCAAAUGAGCUCUUUUGUGGUUUUCUUUCUCAAGUUCUCCUGCAUGUGCCAGGUUCACUACUAAGAUACUGCCUCCUGUAAGGUCCUGCACUCUGUCCCCAAAUCUGUCCUCCUGCACCCAAACCUGGUGCAGGAGCUGCAUGCACAGCCAGCACCGGGAGAGCUGGAGCUUUGUCUGGGAUGAGGAAGGGGCACAGGGCACCCCAACAACGAGUCCCAGAGGCAGCAUGGAGGUGGACACUGGACAUCCUCCAGAAGCCACAGAAAUUGGCAAUUUGACUAAUUCCUCCUCUAUUGUGAUUUAGAGACAAGUAGAAACAGGACAGGGUGUAUGACUGGUGUUCUGGACAAACUUGACAGUGCCCAAACAGCAUGAGGACGGUACAGUUAAGCUUACCUAGCCACCGAGGGAAAGCAGGCUGCGUUUGGCAUAUCAGAACAGGCACCAGCAUGGUCCUAGUGAGGACUAAUAGGAGAAAUACAUCUCUCUGAAAGAUUUCUGUUAUAUUAUUUGUGAGUUCCUACUUCCCAGUGUUGCAGUCGGCAACGGCAAGGCCCAUUGCUGCUGCAGAGAGCACACAAGCCAGCUGCAGGGAAGGACUGCAGGCUUCCUCCAGCUUUAGGAACUGACUGUUUGUUUGCAAGCCAGGCACUAAACUUCUCAUGCCCUUUGCAAUGUGGCAUUUUCCCCUGCUGCUGACCGAACACGGCCAUUUUGGGGGGGUUAUUGGAGUAGAUAAAACUCAAGUUUCUCUUGCUCAUUGCCUAGCAUAAAACCCCAUACAAGGUCUUCUUGGCAGUGCUGUUGCCAGAGGGUCAAUAGCAUGAAUUUUACCUCAGCUGUCUCCUUCAUUCAAUCACUAAGCUGCAUAAUUACUUUUGGAGAAGUCAUUUUUCCCAUCUUCUGCCCUUUCUUGGCUGGAAGCAUAGCAUGUCUUAGUUUUAAUAUACUGCCUUCUCUCCUGGACAAGCUCUCUAUCUCUUCUGCUUUUGUAGAGUUAAGUAAAGCAGAUAAAAUCCUGCCUGAAGUGAAGCAUCUUCCCACAAACUGAGUUCACCCUUCAAACUAUUCAAACUUCAGGUAGAUACACCCCUGAGCAACUGGAUCUGGCCGGACCUGCUUCGAGGAGGGGUUUGGACGAGUGGCCUCCAGAAGUCCUUUUAAACUAAAUUACUCGAGCUCUGUCAUUCCUGCCUCCUGCAGAGCCCCUUUGCUCCCCUUUUCCCCAUCUCCCCUGCUCUGUCAGUCCUCAGCAAUGACCCAAAUCAGGGGUGAAACCCUUUGCCCAGCUGGCCAUUGGGGGUGAGGGCAUCCCCCCAGUGGUGCUGAGCCUCCGAUCGCGGCUGCCCUGCACACAGGGCACACGAGGGGAGACUUCAGGCUUCACAGCCUGGACCAAAUAUUUACCCUCUGCAUGGUGUGUCACAGGCAAUUAAUGUAGCUGAGCCAAGAGCAGAGUGAUGAGAGAAGCUGUUUGCUUUUCAAACCGGACCAGCAAGUGCCUAUUAAAUUAUCUGAAUUUCAGAUAAUAUUUAGCCGUAAAUCUUGUUAACAGUGUUCCACAGUAUGGAGAUGUGAAGGAAGGGAAAUAAAGGGAAACAAAAUGAGGAGGGGAUAUAUUGGGAACUGUAAAGAAGGGAGGCGAAUGCCUCCCUGAUAGCUUAGGAAGCAGUUUGCAGCUGAUGGUUUUAUAGGAAAGGCUUCAGCUCCAUGAGGAAAUCAGCUGGAACAGGCCCGGCAGGAUAGCUCUCCACGUGAGAGCUCCUCUUGCAGAAUACCAAUGAGCUGAAUCCAAAACAAAGUGAUUAGAAGAAGCUUUUUCAGGAAAUUUCCCUGCACCAGGGCAGGAGUGGGGAGGUGGAGGGAGCACACUCUCCUCAGAGAAGAGGAGCAAUCUGGAAAGUUUAAAGCCAGCUAUUCAUGCUAGUUUUCCUUUGUGUCAGAACAGUUUAUUUUUAAUUUGUUACUUUACUUGCUCUAUUGCCCUACUUACAAUAUGAGGACUGACCACAGUGGGUAUAAAAUAAUCUUAGGGUUUGGAAGGCAUACAUUUUAUUAACUUUCAAAUCUGUAAGAAAGAAUCCUGAUCAGCUACCUUAUGCCCCACUUGGAAAGUGCACUGAGGAAGGCUUUGGGAAGGACUGGAAGCAAUGAGAAAGAGAAAACCACUGUUUGCAGAGGGCUGCCUGAUUUGCAAGCUGUCUGUGCCUGCGCUGGGGCUCUCCCAGGUAUGGCCUUUUGCUGGCAGCCAGAAACAAUUAACUAGCAAAUGGAGUGAGGACAGAGGCUAGCAUGAAUUACUGCCUCACAGGUGGAUGCCCCCAGCCCUUCUGUUUCCCAGCCUAAAGGAUCUGGCUCUGGGUUUAUCCGGCAUGCACACCAGCCCCUGCUACACCCCUGCUAUGUGGGGUGUGAAGCAAAAGCACUGCUCCUAUGGGCAGGGGUGACUGCAAGGACAUCACACCGGCCAGCUGGCAGGUAGCAGCCUUACAGACAUACCCUGCUUUGCCGUCGCUUUUGUUGCUAAAUUUUGCCACGAGUUCAGCUGGCUCUUUCGGGAGGAGCCCGGCCGGGUGGUUUCUGUGCACAGCGAUGGGCAGCACGCCACGCGCCAAGCUGUCUCGCUGCCAGGAGCAGCAGGUCCUGGCAAGGGGCUGGGGCACGGCCGCGCUUCCCGGCAGCCAGGCGCUGCGGCAGCCUCCAGCCUGCCCUCCUCACAGCAUCACCUUCUGCGUGUGCCUUCUCCCUCCCCAGGCGCCGGCUGAUGAUGAGAGAAAUCGCACCUCAGGCAUGCUGUUUCCCAAGAAGCGUGGGAAGAAGGUUUUGCAGACAGCGAGGCAGUGCCCUGAGACAUGUUUCCAGCUCCCCACAGUUGCUUGCCAGCGAUGCCACUGCCCCACAAAGCUGCCGCCUCAGGUGGCGUUUUGCCCAGGUUGCAGAGGUCCCACAUCAUCACCCCCUUUCUCUCCAGCACACCUUCGAACAGGCAGGUUUUGAAGCCUGCAACUAAAGUGUGGGCCCCAUGUUGCCAGCACUCAGCUGGUGUUUCCCUCUCCAAUGGCCCCAGGCUGAGAGAUUGGGUCCUCCCCAUCCAUGCAAUGCAAAGAGGAUUUCAAAAGCCUGCUUACAGCUCCAGCCCAGGCUUUGCAAGAGAACUGCCAGGGUACAUCCAGCCAGGCAAGGAAAGUACCUGGCCAUGGCAACCAGGAGUCUUUUAAACAAACUAAGAUGAUGCCCGCAUCCAUCCUGGCCAUCUGUGUCAUGCAGGACACGAGUAUUAGUCCAGGGCACUGUUCAACAGUGCCAUGGCAGCCCUUUGGUUCUGGUUAUCAGCUGGUGACAAGGGCUGAUGUCAGGAGGAAAGCCGGGAUUUAAAAGCUGUGAUCUGAACCCUGCACUGCUGUUUGUUUCUGAGUCAUGCAUGAGGCCAUGCAGAGCUUAUUUUCAGAUUCUGGCUUAAAGAUGCCUGAAAUCUGAUUCAGUUUAUACUUGGGGAAGCCACAGAUCAUGGCAGUCACAGCUCCUACUCUGGAAGAAUUUGGGGGAGGUAGCAAAGGAGAGAGGAUGAUCUUUAAGGUCCUUUCCAACCCAAGCCAUUCUGUGAUUCUAGCUUGCAUUUGAUUUUUCUUUCCAGGUGUAGUGAAAUUUCACAGAGACAUUAGCCUUGCUUCAUUAGUGAGUGCUAGGAAAUAUUUCCGAAAGCCUUCCUUAUCAUCAUGCUGUUCCUUUCCAAACGUUGCCCCUGCAUCAGCCAGGUGUGCUACCGCCUGCAGUGAAGCAAAUCGAAACUAAAGCCUCCAAGACAUCCCAAAAUAAACUGGCAUGGCCCCAGUUGGCUCUUUGUCUGGGAACACAAGUGGCUUCAUGGCUGCGGUGGAUGACAGCUUGCUGGAUGCGAGAAGCCGGCCAUCAGCUGGGCUGCAUGACGGCGUGCCAGUCACAGCACAUUAAAUAGCAUGGUCCCAUGGGCAUCCCUUGCUGGGGACCUUGCUGGAGCACAACCAUCAUGGUGCUGUGCACCUCGAUGCUCUUCAGUAGCUCAGCUUCGGAGCACAGGUAAAUCUCGGUAACAUCUCUCCUCCUCGGGGGUGGCAGUGGCUCUGGGCAGCAUGACCUGGACCUCUCCCCACCCUGCUUGCUUGCUGAGAACCAGCUGCCUGGCUCCUCCAUGAGGGGCUGCAGAGAGCCACUGGCUGAGGAUGUGGGCAUGCAGGGACCUUCUCCUUCCCCAUCACACUCCCUGGGCUCCUCAGGUACCAGGUGUAGACCCAUCCUUGUGGCACCCCUGUGAAGUGUGAGCUGGAGGAUGGCUGACACAGCUGAGGCACCGGGGCUUGCUGGGACCAGAUGAGUAUCAGCUUGUGCCAGCACUGGGUACAAGGCCAGCAUGUGCAUGUACCUGCAUGCAGAGCAGCUGUGGACAAAAGAAGCUCCAGGUCUACAACAUGCCAGUGGGCAAGGCUGCAGUGGCUACAUCAUGGCCUUGUAUCUUCAAGAAGAAGCAAGAGGGAACCUGAUCCUGCAGCCAGCCAAAUAAAAAUACAAUUAAGAAGAAUGAGAUGAGCCUGGAAAUAUUUUGAUUACCUUUCUCCAAACAAAUUCUUCCUUUUUUUUUUUUUCAGAGACUUGAUCUUUCCGUGUUUCUAGGUUCCAGACCUGGGUGCACAGACAGCAAGAGCAAUUUUGGGGUGUGUUCACAAUGGACUGCCCUACCUCACAGUUCCCACAAUGGAUUGGCACCCACACCUGGUGUGAACAUCUGGUUUGAUGCCUAAGGCACUGUUUAAAGAGCAAGCUUCGAAUCUGAAUUUCUUUCUAACUGAAGCUUCUAAAGUCUCCAGCACAAUAUAGCAGGUUACAGUUAUGUAGGAAAUUGCCUUCAAUCCAUUUGACUGUAUCAGAGAUGAUUUUUUCCCUUCCUGACCUCCAGAGGUUACUCUGGAAAAUCGAUUUUCAAGGUGCUAUGGCAGGAAGAAUAAAAAUAGCCAAACAGAUGAACUGAUCUCUCUGAGAGUGCAAAUACUUCCAAGUGCUUAUAGUUCAGAGACCAUGAGGCCUGUAGCAGGAAGCAGAGGGAAUCCCUAUACAAAAGAAGGAAAUUUGGGAAGAAUGACUUAAUCUAAGAGAAAAUUAGGUGCUGUGGCCUGUUGCUAGCAAGGCAAGAGUGCCUCAAAGCACCAAGCCCAUGCGCGUGUCAUGCAGGGUGCCAGAGCACAACACCCCUGUACAACUGAACCUUCUUGGUGGAGCAGGGCUGCUGGCAUCUCACAGGGGUUUCAGAGACAGGUUCUGGGGACUCCACCAUCUGAGUACUCCAUCUGAAGAACGGUGUGGGAUGAAAUUGGAAAAUAUCUCUAAAAUUGCCUCUCAAAUGCCAGCCUGGGAACUGCUUAAAACCAAAUGUCAUCAAGCUGAUUUAGGAGGGAAGCCUGAUUUAAUCUUCCAGCACUAGAAGCUAUUGCUUAUGGGAAAUGUGAUCAUGGAGACAGAGCUAGCUUAGGCUCCCAAGCACUGCUGUGGGUGUCUGCUGGGCGAUGUGAUCCCUUUGUUGUGAGAAAUGCCUCUCAGAGACAGCAAAGAGCACACUAAGCAAAUACUCUUCUGAUCCUUUUCCCCCUCCCCAUCCACUUCCCCUUUUCUCUGGUGUGUUAGCAGCACUGCCCUCCUUUCCCAGGGCUCCCCACCCUCAGGAAUUUCUGGGGAGGGGAGAUGUGUGGCUUCUGCUAUGGCCUUAGCCAUUAGCUACCAAGAUUAUGCUGGGGUACAGUUUGACCUUUUGGUGGAUGAGGGCUCAUACUUUAAAGAUGACUUGACUACAACACUCACAGGGGCUUGGAGAAAUGAGAGAACAGAUAACAGAAUAAGGAGGAGUCAAAAAACAGAUAAAACUCAGAAAAGCCCUCAAUAUCACUUCUACCUAGAGUAAAAGACCUGGCAUCAUUGCUUGAGGCACGGUGGGGAGAGACUGAAAAAUAAGCCGAGAUUUUUCUUGCAAAGAAGUGAACUCAGCAGGUGGAACAAAUUCAUAAGGAUCCACCCCCUUCCACACCUCACAGCUUUUAAAAAGCAGGGCCCCACAGAUUUACUGUGUGUCACACUCCUGAACGUAGAACAUGGUGGAUUUGUAAAGCUAUGGACGCUUCCCCUCAGCCUUACACAGCACUGGUGGCCCACUACGCUCCUGUCAAUGUUAUCACUGUCCAUGCUUCCUCUUGGCACCCUUGCCCACAUGCCAUGCUUCUCUGAGUCCGUUUCACUUCUGCACACUUUGCUGUGACUGCCUUCAGGUGGGACCUGGCUGCUUCAGCAGAGCCCUCCAGCACAAUUCAGAGCCACAGCUUCAGACCUGGUCACCUUGCCAUAUGCUGGCUCCAAUUCAGCAAGUCACCUAUUUUCGCAGAGCUUGUAGGCGCUUCAUGUCAGUGAGACUUCAACUCCUCUGCCAAAUCUAGGAGGGAUUGGCCAAAGGGUUCAAAAGUUUCUCAGAACUGGGAUGAGGGAUUGGCUGGGGUUGCCCUCUCACACACUUUUACUUUAAACCCCACCACAUGAGCCUUGCAUCUUAAGAAACCAAGCUAAAAGCCACGAGACUACACAUUUCAGCCUUUAUUUUUGGAGGCACCUAGGGCUGCGUUUUCCAUCUGUUUUUCCACAGUUGGCGAGCUAACAUUUUGUUUUUCAGUUUGCACCGGAGCUGGGUUCUCAGUAUUUUGCUGGGGAAAUUGGAAUCAUGUCGGCAGCAUCUCUUCCAGGGUGCAUCGGCUCUGACCAGACCAGGAGGGAUGAGACCCACAGCAUCUGGUGUGGGUUUAUUAUAGCUCUCCCUGCUUACACAGAAUGGAUGAGGACCAACAUGUAUUUCUUUUCACUAAGGGCCUAUUCUGCACUCUGGGUGGGCAAGCAUAGCUGCCUGACUGCUUUUCUGUCCCAAAAAAUGUGUCUGAACUCUCGUUUUCACCUGAAGGGCUCAAGAAGGCAGGAGAGCAAGUCAAUCUGACCAGAUGAGUUGCCAAGAUGUCUAUCCAUCACCCCUAAGCCACUGUUUUGUAGUCUCAGAUAGGGAACUGGGGCUGCAGGAAUGAAUGUUUGCACAAUGGAGUUUCAAGCCUGGGGGAGGUUUCCUGUCUAAACAGAAAAAAAUACAUGCAGUUUUUAAAAUAGUUUUUAUAUUUAUGAGAGUUUUGUGUCUUUUCCUUCACCAAUGAAUACAACCAACCAUCUCCUCCCAUUGUUGGAAUAAAAAAUA